CCCCACUUGUUCCCCAGCAUUUCUUUCGGGGACGAUGGGGUACUUNUGGGGGGNCCNCCCGNAUUUUUAAUUCGGAGGGAGGGUGCGGGCCCACGGUAGGUCAGUAUGCCCCGAUUUUCCCGGGUUACACGCGGGNUACAAUGGAUGGGACAAUGGUUCCNUCCCCCUGAAAAGGGCUGGUAAUNUCACAAACCCAUUCGUAGUUCGGAUCGAGGGCUGUAACUCGCCCUCGUGAAGCUGGAAUCCGUAGUAAUCGCGUUUCAAUAUAGCGCGGUGAAUACGUCCCUGCUCCUUGCACACACCGCCCGUCAAACCACCCGAGUGAGGUAUGGGUGAGGGCACGGACUUCGUGCCGUGUUCGAACCUGUGCUUUGCAAGGGGGGUUAAGUCGUAACAAGGUAACC
rnacentral:rRNA from 1 species